rnacentral:rRNA from 1 species
GACAGAGGUGCCGAGCGUUAGGCGGAAUCACUGGGCUUAAAGCGCGUGUAGGCGGCCAUGUAGGUCUGACGUGAAAUUCCGAGGCUCAACCUCGGCAGGUCGUUGGAAACCAUAUGGCUAGAGUCCGGAAGAGGAGAGUGGAAUUCCUGGUGUAGCGGUGAAAUGCGCAGAUAUCAGGAAGAACACCAAUGGCGAAGGCAGCUCUCUGGGACGGUACUGACGCUGAGACGCGAAAGCGUGGGGAGCGAACAGG